ACUCCUACGGGAGGCAGCAGUAGGGAAUCUUCCACAAUGGGCGCAAGCCUGAUGGAGCAACACCGCGUGAGUGAAGAAGGGUUUCGGCUCGUAAAGCUCUGUUGUUAAAGAAGAACACGUAUGAGAGUAACUGUUCAUACGUUGACGGUAUUUAACCAGAAAGUCACGGCUAACUACGUGCCAGCAGCCGCGGUAAUACG
rnacentral:rRNA from 1 species